rnacentral:misc_RNA from 1 species
CCGAGUUUACAACUCCCAAACCCAAUGUGAACGUUACCAAACUGUUGCCUCGGCGGGGUCACGCCCCGGGUGCGUAAAAGCCCCGGAACCAGGCGCCCACCGGAGGAACCAACCAAACUCUUUCUGUAGUCCCCUCGCGGACGUAUUUCUUACAGCUCUGAGCAAAAAUUCAAAAUGAAUCA